rnacentral:rRNA from 1 species
GUCGCCUCCUAAAAGGUAACGGAGGCGCUCAAAGGUUCCCUCAGAAUGGUUGGAAAUCAUUCAUAGAGUGUAAAGGCAUAAGGGAGCUUGACUGCGAGACCUACAAGUCGAGCAGGGUCGAAAGACGGACUUAGUGAUCCGGUGGUUCCGCAUGGAAGGGCCAUCGCUCAACGGAUAAAAGCUACCCCGGGGAUAACAGGCUUAUCUCCCCCAAGAGUUCACAUCGACGGGGAGGUUUGGCACCUCGAUGUCGGCUCA